AUACUUCUUCGGGGCAGGGUGAAAUUCCCAACCGACGGUAACGAUUAACAUCGAAGUCCGUGACCCGCGUUAAGCGGUUGAUCUAGUGAGAAUCUAGAACCGACAGUAUAGUCUGGAUGGGAGAAGAAGUCU
rnacentral:ncRNA from 2 species